rnacentral:lncRNA from 1 species
GGAAACACAGGGCAGGGUUUUGUUCCAGUGCCUUCCUGGCAGCCACACCCACUUAACACCAAAUUCCCAAUGCCAGGUCUGAGACAGAGGGGAUCGCAGUGGAGACUGCACUCGCUUCAGCAGUUACCAGCUCUGGUAAUAUCUGUUGAGCAACUGCUCCAUGGCAGGGCUGGGGAGGUGGCCCGUGAACAAAUUGGCCAGGGCAGGUCCCUGCUCCGACCUGUGGUGCUUGCAGUCACCGUCUGGGGAGGGACUGCAAAACCACACAGACAGUACGACAGACGGUGCACCAUGAGGAGAAGGUCUGGCUUCCAUGAACAUGUGCCACAGCGGGAGCAAAGUAAAUGAGAUUGGAGGGGGCCAGGAGGAAAUGACAUUGAAGCUCAGAGGAAGAGAAUUUAACCAGGACUGGACUGUCUUCCGGGGGCGAUCAGAGCAAAGGCGCUAAGAUGACAGGAGCCACUAUGCGUCUGAAGAAGCCAGAUGGAGUUUCACUCUUGCCCAGGCUGGAGUGCAAUGGCCCGAUCUCAGCUCACUGCAACCUUCGUCUCCCGGGUUCAAGUGAUUCUCCUGCCUCAACCUCCCAAGUAGCUGGGAUUACAAGCACCCGCCACCAUGGCUGGCUAAUUUUUGUAUUUUUAGUAGAGACCAUGUUUCGCCAUGCUGGCCAGGCUGGUCUCGAACUCCUGACCUCAGGUGAUCUGCCCGCCUCGGCCUCCCAAAGUGCUGGGAUUACAGGCAUGAGCCACCGUGCCUGACCUCAUUAUUAUUAUUAUUUCCUUUUAUUAUUAUUAUUAUUUUUUUAUUGAGACAGAGUAUUGCCCAGGGUGGAGUGCAGUGGCACAACCUCAGCUCACUGCAACCUUCAUCUCCCAGGUUCAAGUGAUUCUCCUGCCUCAGCCUCCCCAGUAGCAGGGAUUACAGGCAUGUGCC